UACGUAGGGGGGCAAGCGUUGUCCGGAAUCAUUGGGCGUAAAGAGCGUGUAGGCGGCCCGGUAAGUCCGCUGUGAAAGUCCAGGGCUCAACCCUGGGAUGCCGGUGGAUACUGUCGGGCUCGAGUCCGGAAGAGGCGAGUGGAAUUCCUGGUGUAGCGGUGAAAUGCGCAGAUAUCAGGAGGAACACCAAUGGCGAAGGCAGCUCGCUGGAACGGUACUGACGCUGAGGCGCGAAAGCGUGGGGAGCGAACAGG
rnacentral:rRNA from 1 species